AUUGAACGCUGGCGGCAUGCCUUACACAUGCAAGUCGAACGGUAACAGGUCUUCGGAUGCUGACGAGUGGCGAACGGGUGAGUAAUACAUCGGAACGUGCCUAGUAGUGGGGGAUAACUACUCGAAAGAGUGGCUAAUACCGCAUGAGAUCUACGGAUGAAAGCAGGGGAUCGCAAGACCUUGUGCUACUAGAGCGGCCGAUGGCAGAUUAGGUAGUUGGUGGGAUAAAAGCUUACCAAGCCGACGAUCUGUAGCUGGUCUGAGAGGACGAUCAGCCACACUGGGACUGAGACACGGCCCAGACUCCUACGGGAGGCAGCAGUGGGGAAUUUUGGACAAUGGGCGCAAGCCUGAUUCAGCAAUGCCGCGUGCAGGAUGAAGGCCUUCGGGUUGUAAACUGCUUUUGUACGGAACGAAAGGCCCUGGGUUAAUACCCUGGGGUCAUGACGGUACCGUAAGAAUAAGCACCGGCUAACUACGUGCCAGCAGCCGCGGUAACAC
rnacentral:rRNA from 1 species